UCAACAGGGCAUGAAACCGUUAAGAGGUAAACGGGUGGGGUCUGCACAGUCUGCCCGGAGGAUCAAACCGGCGGGUCUGGUUGGGAUCGCGGAUCCCCUUGGGUGGGGACCGUCGCCUGGCAUCGGCAUCUCCGUCGAGCGCACUUCUUCCGAGGCGGAGAGCCGCGACCGGCUCCGGUUUGGCCAGGAAGGGUCGGGGGGUGAAGGUGGCCCCAGGGCUGUGGGCAGUGUCCUCGCGCCUUCUCUCCUCCUGCCGGGGGAGGGACGGGGCCCCUCGCUCCCGGUGCGUGCGUCAACCGGGGCGGACUGUCCUCAGUCCGUCUCCGACCGCUCCGUGCCAUAAGGGCGGGGAUCAGGCCCUCGUAAAGGGUGCUCGAGAUUGGUGGCGAGGUCGGCCACCCACCCUACCCGUCUUGAAACACAGACACAAGGAGUCUAACACACUCGU
rnacentral:rRNA from 1 species